AAAUUAAUGUAUAAAGAGUCGAGCCUGCCCAGUGAUAAAAUUUAAACGGCCGCGGUACUCUGACCGUGCGAAGGUAGCAUAAUCAUUUGCCCUAUAAUUGAGGGCUUGUAUGAAUGGUUUGACAAGAGCAUAACUGUCUCCUUAAAAUUUUAUAAAAUUUGGUUUUUAGGUGAAGAAACCUAAAUGAAAUUGAAAGACAAGAAGACCCUAUCGAGCUUUAGACUAAUUAAUUAGAAAAUAUAAUUAAAAUAAUUAAUUUUAAUUAAAAACUUUGGUUGGGGCGACUGAGGAACAUAUAAAGCUUCCUUAAUCAAAAUUAACUAAUAAGUAAUGAUCCAAAAAUUUUGAUUAAUAAAAUUAGUUACCGUAGGGAUAACAGCAUAAUCUUUUUUGAGAGUUCUUAUCGAAAAAAAGGUUUGUGACCUCGAUGUUGGACUAGGAUAUCCUAAAAGAUGCAGAAGUCUUUAAAGGUUGGUCUGUACGACCA
rnacentral:rRNA from 1 species